AGAGUUUGAUCCUGGCUCAGAACGAACGCUGGCGGCGUGGAUAAGGCAUGCAAGUCGAACGGGAUCCAAGAGACCCGCAAGGGUUUCUUGGUGAGAGUGGCGAACGGGUGAGUAACACGUGAGCAACCUACCUUUAGGAGGGGGAUAACCCCGGGAAACCGGGGCUAAUACCGCGUAUCACCUUAGGGUCUCAUGACUCUUGGGUGAAAGGAGGGGAUCCUUCGGGACCUUCCGCCUAAAGAUGGGCUCGCGCCCGAUCAGCUAGUUGGCGGGGUAAUGGCCCACCAAGGCUUCGAUCGGUAGCUGGUCUGAGAGGAUGGUCAGCCACACUGGGAUUGAGAUACGGCCCAGACUCCUACGGGAGGCAGCAGUCUAGAAGCUUCGGCAAUGGGCGAAAGCCUGACCGAGCGACGCCGCGUGCGGGAUGAAGGCCUUCGGGUUGUAAACCGCUUUCAGAGGGGAAGAAGUGCAUGGGUGUUAAUACCACCUAUGUUAGACGGUACCCUUAGAAGAAGCCCUGGCUAACUCCGUGCCAGCAGCCGCGGUGAUACGGAGAGGGCGAGCGUUGUUCGGAUUUAUUGGGCGUAAAGGGCGCGUAGGCGGUUUGUAUAAGUCUUCAGUGAAAUUUUCAGGGCUCAACCCGGAACCUGCUGGAGAAACUGUCAGACUUGAGUAGAGGAGAGGAGAGCGGUAUUCCCGGUGUAGCGGUGAAAUGCGUAGAUAUCGGGAGGAACACCAGUGGCGAAGGCGGCUCUCUGGCCUCAAACUGACGCUGAGGCGCGAAAGCCAGGGGAGCGAACGGGAUUAGAUACCCCGGUAGUCCUGGCCCUAAACGUUGUGCACUAGGUGUAGGAGGUAUUGACCCCUUCUGUGCCGUAGGUAACCCAUUAAGUGCACCGCCUGGGGAGUACGAUCGCAAGGUUGAAACUCAAAGGAAUUGACGGGGGCCCGCACAAGCGGUGGAGCAUGCGGUUUAAUCCGAUGCAACGCGAAGAACCUUACCGGGGUUUGACAUUACCGUCAGGGAUCUGGCCAUUUGGGAAACCAGAUGGUUUUAGAUAAACAGGUGCUGCAUGGCUGUCGUCAGCUCGUGACGUGAGAUGUUGGGUUAAGUCCCGCAACGAGCGCAACCCUUGCAUUCAGUUACCAGCGGCUAGGCCGGGAACUCUGGAUGGACUGCCGGUGAUAAACCGGAGGAAGGUGGGGAUGACGUCAAGUCCUCAUGGCCCUUAUGCCCCGGGCUACACGCGUGCUACAAUGGUCGGUACUAAGAGUUGCAAAACCGAAAGGUCCAGCGAAUCUCAAAAAACCGGCCCCAGUUCAGAUUGGGGUCUGCAAUUCGACCCCAUGAAGUUGGAAUCGCUAGUAAUCGCGUAUCAGCAACGACGCGGUGAAUACGUUCCCGGGCCUUGUACACACCGCCCGUCAAAUGACCCGAGUUGACUGCACCAGAAGCCGUUUACCCAACCCGCAAGGGAAGGAAACGUCGAAGGUGUGGUUGGUAAGGGGGACC
rnacentral:rRNA from 1 species